GAAUUCGAUUGAGUUUGAUCAUGGCUCAGGACGAACGCUGGCGGCGUGCUUUACACAUGCAAGUCGAGCGGUAAGGCCCUUCGGGGUACACGAGCGGCGAACGGGUGAGUAACACGUGGGUGACCUGCCCUCCACUCUGGGAUAAGCCCGGGAAACUGGGUCUAAUACCGGAUAUGACCACAUGUCGCAUGGUGUGUGGUGGAAAGCGUUUAGUGGUGGGGGAUGGACCCGCGGCCUAUCAGCUUGUUGGUGGGGUAAUGGCCUACCAAGGCGACGACGGGUAGCCGGCCUGAGAGGGCGAUCGGCCACACUGGGACUGAGACACGGCCCAGACUCCUACGGGAGGCAGCAGUGGGGAAUAUUGCACAAUGGGCGGAAGCCUGAUGCAGCGACGCCGCGUGAGGGAUGACGGCCUUCGGGUUGUAAACCUCUUUCAGUACCGACGAAGCGAGAGUGACGGUAGGUACAGAAGAAGCACCGGCCAACUACGUGCCAGCAGCCGCGGUAAUACGUAGGGUGCGAGCGUUGUCCGGAAUUACUGGGCGUAAAGAGCUCGUAGGCGGUUUGUCACG
rnacentral:rRNA from 1 species